rnacentral:rRNA from 1 species
UCGAAGGUGUAAGUGCAGCAAUGUAUUUAGCUUAUCGAUACUAAUAGGUCGAGGACUUGACCAA